rnacentral:rRNA from 1 species
UACGGAGGAUGCGAGCGUUAUCCGGAUUUAUUGGGUUUAAAGGGUGCGUAGGCGGCCGAGUAAGUCAGCGGUGAAAUUUUGCAGCUUAACUGUAACAGUGCCGUUGAUACUGCAUGGCUAGGAUUUGGUUGCUGUGGGUGGAAUGUGUGGUGUAGCGGUGAAAUGCUUAGAUAUCACACAGAAUAUCAAUUGCGAAGGCAGCUCACAAGGCCAAGAUUGACGCUGAGGCACGAAAGUGUGGGGAUCAAACA